rnacentral:rRNA from 1 species
UGGGUGAUCUGCCCUGCACUCUGGGAUAAGCCUGGGAAACUGGGUCUAAAUACCGGAUAGGACUACGGCCUGCAUGGGUUGUGGUGGAAAGCUUUUGCGGUGUGGGAUGGGCCCGCGGCCUAUCAGCUUGUUGGUGGGGUGAUGGCCUACCAAGGCGACGACGGGUAGCCGGCCUGAGAGGGUGACCGGCCACACUGGGACUGAGAUACCGGCCCAGACCUCCUACAGGAGGCA